CAGUUAGUUGGCGGGGUAAUGGCCCACCAAGACGAUGAUCGGUAUCCGGCCUGAGAGGGCGCACGGACACACUGGAACUGAAACACGGUCCAGACUCCUACGGGAGGCAGCAGUGGGGAAUUUUGCGCAAUGGGGGAAACCCUGACGCAGCAACGCCGCGUGGAGGAUGAAAUCCCUUGGGAUGUAAACUCCUUUCGAUAGGGAAGAUAAUGACGGUACCUAUAGAAGAAGCCCCGGCUAACUUCGUGCCAGCAGCCGCGGUAAUACGAGGGGGGCAAGCGUUGUUCGGAAUUAUUGGGCGUAAAGGGUGCGUAGGCGGUUUGACAAGUCUUAUGUGAAAUCUAUGGGCUCAACCCAUAGUCUGCAUAGGAAACUGUCGGGCUUGAGUAUGGGAGAGGUGAGUGGAAUUUCCGGUGUAGCGGUGAAAUGCGUAGAUAUCGGAAGGAACACCUGUGGCGAAAGCGGCUCACUGGAACCUUACUGACG
rnacentral:rRNA from 1 species